UACAGAGGGGGCAAGCGUUGUUCGGAAUUACUGGGCGUAAAGGGCGCGUAGGCGGCCAACUAAGUCGGAUGUGAAAUCCCCAAGCUUAACUUGGGAACUGCAUCCGAUACUGGAUGGCUUGAAUCCGGGAGAGGGAUGCAGAAUUCCAGGUGUAGCGGUGAAAUGCGUAGAUAUCUGGAGGAAUACCGGUGGCGAAGGCGGCAUCCUGGACCGGCAUUGACGCUGAGGAGCGAAAGCUAGGGGAGCAAACGGG
rnacentral:rRNA from 1 species